rnacentral:lncRNA from 1 species
GGUAAAAUGCACUGAAUUUAUAAAGUGUUUAUUUCAUUAACCGGCAGUUGGUAAAUACCACUGUUAGGGGCUGUUAGUUCCUAAUGGUAUCAUCCGCUUAGUCGUAAUUUCUUGUUCUUUAGAAAUGACAUGAUUUGUAAGUAUUUAAAGUUCUUUGCUUAAAGUUUGGACUGCAUAAAUACACUGGAACUUAAUGAUCUUUACUUAUAUGACAAAUAAAGUACCUAACCUGAAUUGCAAAAUGGAUCUACGUCCAGCUUAGACGUGGAUAAACUGUUGGGUGAAAUUUUGCAUGCGUUUAUUAAAUAAAAAACGUGGCUUAUAUAGAUACCUAUAAAAAGGAAGAUGUGGUUAUUUUCAUUUUCGAACAAACCAGUAUAUAAAAAUUUCGAAUCCAGUUAGUUCAUUCUCGCUGUCGUAUGCAAGUAUGUCUAUUGUAGAAUAAAGCUUAAGGAUGAUGGGAAAUAUAUGUAAUAAAUGAUUCGAAAGUAUAUUUUAACACAAUUUCAUUAGAAUGUAACUUUUUAAUGUAUAAUAAUAAGAUUAAAGUCUGAAAAGUGUAAUUAAAGCAGCAGAAUACAUAAUAUUGAUUACUGAAUGCGUUUCAUUUUAACAAUAAAUGCGAUGAAUUAUCAAUUAUGAAGUGCGAUUAUUUCUGAUGUGGAAAUUUAGAAGGUGCAAUGAAUUUUCAUGAUUAUUUUUUUUGAUAUUUCGACAUGCGACAACAUAAAUUGUCUUUUAAGGACUUCAAUAUUGAUGAUAUUUACAAUUUGAAAUGCAAGCUAGUCGUAGACGCUUACUUGAUUGUACACGGUUAUAACAAACAUCGAAUUUUUCUGCAAGUCGUUGCGUGCUUUCUGUAUAAUUCUAAACCGUUCGUUAGUAACACACCGAGAACAUCAUUUGCUAUUUCUAUUGAAACUGGAAAACACCCGCGUUAUUUCGGUUCCAUGACUAAAUAAGGGUAUCAAAUUAUAUAUAAGCCUUAUUUCUAACAGGGAUUUUAUGUUCUCGUAUGUCAUGUUUUAAUUAUAUAUGUAGAACACUUUGUAAGGGGCUCAAUUGAUGCAAUUGACAUAGUAAACAAACUAAAAGAUAACCUCUACAUGGUGGCAAGUGAAGGUGAGGAAUAAUACUUCUUUAAAUUAUGUCUGUAAAACUCUGUUUGACAUCUGCCUCAAACUUAAAUUAAAAAAAGAUAUAAUCAUAUCAUUAUGUGUAACACACAAGAGAAAAUGUAAGAAAAUAAACUUCUG